UCAGACAGCUGCGGCUGUUCUCGUGAACAAAAGCGACAGGCGCGCGCCAGCAGCUGACAUCUCCAAUCCUGCGCUGAAGCCUGUCUCCAUAUUCUGAAUGUACCUAGUGUCUCAUUGUUAUUCGAUUAAAUAUAAUCUAACAUUGUUUACGAAUACAUGAUUCAUUUUAAGUAGCAUAUCUGUGCUGUAGUGCCGAUAUUCGUUCUGGGCAGGUGUUUAGGCGUUUGUUAUUCAAGGUUUUAAAAUGAAGACUAGGUUUUACGCUGUAUUUUGAUACUGAAGGUUUGGAUUGAUCUGCUGUUGCUUUGGGCAGUUGACGACUGGUUUGGGGGCUUAUUGUUUUAGGACAAAGAUCAUCUCAAGUCUGGACUCGCAGGAAACCAAGUACUGGCAUUUGUUUUUCACACCACUUCUACUUUGGCAAUUUUGAAAGCAUACUCAUUUCAUGUCUUGAUGAUGCCUACUGUCAGAUCCUGAUAUAUAGCUGCUUAUUCAGGGAUUUCUGGGAAGAAGAAGGAGGCUAUCGAGGUUGGGACUUUGGAGAGAGAGAGGUAUAGAGAGAGGCACUUUGUAAAGGCGUCCCAUCGAUCAGAGCCCGAAGUCGCAGUCCAGGAGCUUGUCAAACCCUCCAACGUAAGCAAUUCCUCCACUCACUUGUCAACGGCUACAAAUACUUCUUUACAAGUUUUACUCAGAUCAUUUUACUUAGAUAUUUUACUCACUGGGAUAAUACAAAGGCUGUGUCUGACACUUUUUAGUAUAGCCUACGUGAAUUAUUUUACCUACAUUUCUGUCAAAUUACAAGGGUGUUUUAUGGAAACUUAUUGCAAUGUGUAUAACAUUAUUUUGUUUGUUGCUACAACUCUGGGUGUCAGUUGCUCGAUAGCUGUGGUACGGUUGAGGGCAGCAGUGAACACCCUCAUCCCAGUAGUUUUUUUUGUGUGCACUUGUAUCAUCUGGCAUCAUAUAGUGUCUUUGAUGUAGUACACUACAGUUUAAGUCAACCGUGCUGCCCCACAACAGGUUUCUCUUUCACCAAGACCGAGCUCAGAUAUUCUGUCAUCUCUGCUUCUCUGUAUGACUGUGUCCCGCCCAGUGGCUGUUAGCGUCCGUUGCUUCUAACUACCACUCAAAAGGUAUGACUUCCUCACUGGAGCUACCAGUCCCCUCCAUAAAGGCACAUUCACAUCGGCCUUGUGCUGAAAUACUGAAAGGAGGGCUGCUAUGCUAAUGUAAUGGAGGUAAGAAAGUGACAUACGCUUACUCCACAUAACUAGCUUAAAUGUCGCCAAUGGUGCUAUCGUAUCCGAUCAUUUUCUAUAGAGCAACUGGUUGGUAAGUUGUCAAGGAUGGCGGUCGCGUAUGUUUGCGAUUAGAGCGCCACUGGUUUGAGCCCAGUAAGGGGAUGCAGGGACAGUGGAGGAAGCAAAGCUGUUAGCAGCACACUGGUUUAGGUUUCACUGACAGAGAUGGCUGUUAACACCUUCACUGCUGUCCAAUAUCAACUGGAAAUUGAAAGGACACUAUAGGCAUCUGAGUCACAGACCAGGAGUUAGACCAUUACAAUUCCUCCACUCACCUGUCAACAGAUACAAAUACAGAAUUUUAAAGAUACAUCAUUUUACUUAGAUAUUUUAUUCACAACAAUGAUACAAAGACUCUGACACUUCUUAAUGUAGCCUACAUAUCACCUCCACUUUGAUUAAAUCGUUCACAAUUUUACCUAUGUUUCUGUUUUAUGUAAACUUACUGCAACGUGUACAGUUUUGUUUUAGCUGUUGUUAUACCUCUGUGAACUCCUUAGCUGACAAUGGGUAUCAGUUGCACGACAGCUGUGGUACUGGUGUUAGUAUAAUGGAUGUCACGCUUCUUGCUUAGCGAGUACCACUUCCUGAUUCGGCUCACACAGAGGCUCAAACCCAGGAUCUCUUGUUUUCUAGCACAUGUGACCACCCGCCCGAAGCGUCUUACCAGUCACGCCACACAAAAAGCUAGCUAUAUGGUGGCACAAAGUGGGGAGACUUCAGGGUGAGGAGUAAGUUUUACAUAUCCCCCAUGUGCUACAUUAGAAGCUGUCUUGAGACAGCAACCGUGGACACCCUCAUCUCAGUAGCUCUUUGUGUGUGCAGUUACAUCAUAACUUUCUAGAUCAUUUCCAUGUAAACCUUCUGAAGACACAGCCAAAGAAAACACCAAAUAUUUCAAAAAUCUUUUAGCACUUUGUCAUUGUCACUCCUCAGUUCUCUAGUUCCAUUCACAUUAAUGAAAGAUUUCCAUGGAAGUUGGCAUCACUCGACACUGCAGCCAUGGGAUAGUGAACCAAUCAAAAGUGGAUUGAAGAGUAGCCUUUUCCUCGUAACCCAAUCAGCAUUGUGUAUGCAUGAGCCACUACCACACCCUGCCCUUACAUGGCACGGAGGACUGGCCAAGGUCUACAGAUGGAUGUAAAGGCUGCUAGUUCAGAGACAACAGGGCCACAAUACUAAGACCACUACAACUACUACUACUACAACAGAACCACAACUACCAAGAGCAUUACUACAGAACCAGGAGGGGAACAGCUUCCGACUUGUCUCAGGUAAGAUUCGAUUACUAAUCAUAAUUUUAGAUUAAAUCAAUGGACAUUGAAUUUAUCAAGCACAAUAACAUAUUUUUUUGGUCCCAAUUUCAGAUUGAAUAGUGCUAGUUGUAGAACGCACUGAUAUCAAAAGAUGUAAUCCCUUCCAAUGAUUGCAUAAAAAAUGGUACAUUCAUCAAUACUCUGAGAAGAGUAUUUAUUUAACUAACAUUUCCAUCUAAUGUGUGACAUAUAAGUUUUUUUUAACUCCAGUUUCAGAACUGGACAGCAACCAUCUGCCACUGGCUGCAGCAGAAUACUGUAGAGAGUCAGCUGGUGUUCAAAGAGCAGACUGUAAUCUGUUCUUCAGCUGUACGACAAUAUUCUAUUAUUAUUCAGCUAAAUUCCAGAUGCAGUUGCAGAAUGUGCGUACACACUCACAUGUUUGUCAAAGAUUCACGAGGCUGCUUUGUGGAUAUUCUGAAUACAAGUGAAAGCAAAUCACCCCACAUGAUUGAAAUGCAAUAAAGUUGGCACUACUUGCAGACAUGAGCGAUGUAAAUACUAAAAUACACUCUUCUCUCUCUAGGACGACAGUGAAG
ensembl:lncRNA